rnacentral:rRNA from 1 species
AGUGAACGCUGGCGGUAGGCCUAACACAUGCAAGUCGAACGGCAGCACAGUAAGAGCUUGCUCUUACGGGUGCGAGUGGCGGACGGGUGAGGAAUACAUCGGAAUCUACUUUUUCGUGGGGGAUAACGUAGGGAAACUUACGCUAAUACCGCAUACGACCUACGGGUGAAAGCAGGGGAUCUUCGGACCUUGCGCGAUUGAAUAAGCCGAUGUCGGAUUAGCUAGUUGGCGGGGUAAAGGCCCACCAAGGCGACGAUCCGUAGCUGGUCUGAGAGGAUGAUCAGCCACACUGGAACUGAGACACGGUCCAGACUCCUACGGGAGGCAGCAGUGGGGAAUAUUGGACAAUGGGCGCAAGCCUGAUCCAGCCAUACCGCGUGGGUGAAGAAGGCCUUCGGGUUGUAAAGCCCUUUUGUUGGGAAAGAAAAGCAGCAGGUUAAUACCCCGCUGUUCUGACGGUACCCAAAGAAUAAGCACCGGCUAACUUCGUG